UACAUGGGGUGCAAACGUUGCUCGGAAUUAUUGGGCGUAAAGCGCGCGUAGGCGGUCGCUUAAGUCGGAUGUGAAAUCCCUCGGCUUAACUGAGGAAGUGCAUCCGAGACUGAACGGCUAGAGUACGAAAGAGGGUCGCGGAAUUCCCGGUGUAGAGGUGAAAUUCGUAGAUAUCGGGAGGAACACCGGCGGCGAAGGCGGCGACCUGGUUCGAGACUGACGCUGAAGCGCGAAAGCUAGGGGAGCAAACAGG
rnacentral:rRNA from 1 species